UGCUGUGGCAUCAGGUGGCUGUGUGGCCCUGACUGCAGGGAUGGAAGGGUGAGAAGGCUGCAUGCGGGGCUCUUCUCUCUCCUUUGGGAGCCCUGCCCUCAUUGUGUGGACUCCUCAGUGGAAAAAACUGUUGCCAGGAACUCUUUUGCACUUAUGCAUUGGAGAUGGGGGCAAGAGAAACUGCGUUGAACUAUUGAACUGGGCAAAAGCAUAUGACUGAACACAGGACUGCUGCACCCACAUUCUUGAUAAAAAUUGGACACUCUGCAAAAAAUAUUUUCCUAGUAACUGUCACAAUGUACUCAGAUAAUUUUGUACAUUGUAAAAUGUAAUUAUAUCUUCCACUCAGAAUUUUUGGAAGACAACUGGUGCAAGUUUCUGGAGACUUCUGCAGUUUGCUAAUAAAGACCCUGGGUGUUUACUGCUCCUCGACAGGAUGAAGUUUGGGUUGCUGCCUGAAUCUACGCUUCCCAAGUGGCGAUUCUAAGACCCCAGAUAAACUCUUUUGUCUUAUUUGGGUAACUUCCUGUUUUCUUAGCCAAGAAAGGGAAGGAAGAAAAUCGACAUUCUGCCUGUUAUCCCUCGACGCCUAUUGCAUGGGCCACCGAGUCACCUGCACCAUGUCAUGGGCUUCCUUUGCCAGGUUUGUGCCAUGUCCUCCUGUAAUAAAUAAGAAAGCUGAGGUGCAUUCAAAUCACUUACACACACCGGAGCAGAGACAGAAGAAACCCUCACCCUUCUGACAGUUCUAAGUACUGGGGUGCUGCAUCGACGGCAAGAGCAAGGACAGCAAGAGGAAGCCUCUCACAUCCAGGUCCCCCUCCCCCGCCCCCAGCCUCCCUUCUUGACAGUCAUUUUCCUACCAACUUGGCCAUCCCACCUCAGGGGGCAUGUAGCCUGGAUGCUGUGAUAAAACACCCUCUUUGCACCAAGGCAAUUGAGAGCAGGGGGUCAAGGGCUGGUUGCUCCUGGGUUUGAUUCCUAAUCACUUUUUAAAUCCCUCGUGCCUUGUGAAAUAAACGUGAUGGACUUUG